GCCGGAUUGGUGGAAUGGUAGACACGGCGCACUCAAAAUGCGCUGCCGAGAGGCGUGCGGGUUCGAGUCCCGCAUCCGGUACAA
rnacentral:tRNA from 3 species